GGGGAGAGGGAGAGGGAGAGAGAGUGAAAGAUUGUACUGAACGAAACCCUAGCCAUGGAUAGGUACUCUGAUAAGGAUAAAUCUUCCAAACGCUCCCGAGAAGACCGCGACCGCGAUUCCGCCAAGGAUCACAAACACCGAUCUCGAGACAAGGACCGAGAUGAUAAGUAUCGAGAAUCUGAUUCUCUCCACCGCCACCAUCGAUCGGACCGGGAAAGCCAUCGCGACCAUCACAAGUCAUCGAGGCGUGAGGAUCGGGAGAGCUCUCGAGACCGCGAAUCUAAGCGUGAGCGAUCGUACGACGCGAGAGAGGAUAGAGAGGAGAGUAGGGAUCGUCGCGAGCGCUCUCACGAACCGCGAAGUGAUCACAAAUCUUCCUUGUCGAGGCGCGAGGAUCGAGAGCGGUCUCGCGAGAGGUCCUACAAUCUGAGAGAAGAUCGAGAGGGGAGCAGAGAUGGACGCGAGAGAGAAGCGAAUCGAGAGAUGUCGUAUGAUAGUGGGGAUUUGGAGUAUGAAGCUAGAAGGAAGAGAAAAGAAAGAGGAGAUGACGAGGAUAGGGUUGUUGAGAGGGAAAAGAGGGUUAGGGUUUCAGAAGAGAAGAGGGAGAGGAGGAGAUUUGAGGAUAAA
rnacentral:misc_RNA from 1 species